GCCGAUUAAAACCACAUUAAGUGUCCUCAGUGUCGCAGAUUCACUCCGGUUAGUGCCGGGCCAAUCUCUGUGAAUGAUGAUCUCCAAACCGAUCACGAUUUGAUGGCCCUACUUCUCCAAACAAAAACAAAUUUAUUAUCACAGAGACAUUCACCUGUAUCUGCCACGGGCACGAUUAAAUCGAUAUUAAUUGUUGGAAAUGGUUAUAGGAAUCGAUAGUGAUUUAUCUCCUCCUCCAGCGGGUGGGAUUUCAAAACGGUGCAUACCGUGACUGCUAGAUGGCGUUGGUGGAUGAUGAUUAUUUUCUGCGAAAAAAAAUAAAUGGCCCUAGCCGAGGUGCUGAAUUUUUAGGGGGUAAUUUGGCGUUCCGUAUUUAUCGUGCCAGUGGCAGAUACAGGGCCAUCAAAUCGUGAUCGGUUUGGAGAUCCUAAUUCACAGAGAUUUGCCCGGCACUAACCGGAGUGAAUAUGCGACACUGAGGACACUUAAUGUGGUUUUAAUCGACUAGAUUCUGAAUGACACAAAAAUAUACAUGAGUACAAUCAUCGGACA